rnacentral:rRNA from 1 species
UGCCAGCAGCCGCGGUAAUACGAAAGGGGCUAGCGUUGUUCGGAAUUACUGGGCGUAAAGCGCGCGUAGGCGGCAUACCAAGUUGGGGGUGAAACCCCGGAGCUCAACUCCGGAACUGCCUCCAAAACUACAAAGCUAGAGGAUGUGAGAGGAUAGUGGAAUUCCGAGUGUAGAGGUGAAAUUCGUAGAUAUUCGGAAGAACACCAGUGGCGAAGGCGACUGUCUGGCACAUUUCUGACGCUGAGGUGCGAAAGCGUGGGGAGCAAACAGGAUUAGAUA